UACGGAGGGUGCAAGCGUUAAUCGGAAUUACUGGGCGUAAAGCGCACGCAGGUGGCUGAGAAAGUUGGUUGUGAAAGCCCUGGGCUUAACCUGGGAAUUGCAUCCAAAACUGCUCAGCUAGAGUAUGGGAGAGGAUGGUAGAAUUCCAGGUGUAGCGGUGAAAUGCGUAGAGAUCUGGAGGAAUACCGAUGGCGAAGGCAGCCAUCUGGCCUAAGACUGACGCUGAGGCACGAAAGCGUGGGGAGCAAACAGG
rnacentral:misc_RNA from 1 species